GGCUGGCAAGGCAUAAAUCGAGAUUGGGAAGUGGACUCUUAGGAGUAAGACAUCAAGAUUCUUCCUGUGCCUUAGUCCUUCCUGUCAUUAGAGAGAGAUUAUUGAUACCUUGAAUGUCAGGCAGGAAACCAACCAUCCACCACCAGAAGAAACAACAAUGAAAAAAGAAUUAGAUAGAGAAGAGGGACAAAAGCAGUGCUCUAUGGAGGGAAAACACCAAAAGGUUGGUAGGUGAGAUGAGGAAGUAAUCAUGGUCAUUGGUGCUGUUGUUCACUUGCUGAGGUGCCAAGGACACCCAUCUGUCAAGACAAUGUGUAGGAUGCUGAUCAAGCCUGGAGCCCCUGCCGCUGAGCACCCCGCUGGGGACUGAAGAUGCCACUUCAAUGAGAGUGUGCCUGCCUGAUGGUGCACUGUGGUUUGGGAAGGGAUUGCAAUCCAUCUUUCCCCUGGAAAAAAAGGCUUUCAUUGCAGCAGGAAAAAGGGCACAGAAAAUUGCCUUGAUCUUCACAAUAAGGGAUGCAACCUGAGUAUUUCAUAACAGAAACUCAUUUUGAAAGAUCAUUUCAUUUUGGACUAUGCCAAACCAAAGCAAUUGAUUUUUUAAUAGAAUCAAAAUAACCACCCCACACUUGAGACCUAUUGAGGGUAGGUCUAAAAAGGAGGAUAUUUGAAUGGGGGAGAGACACAACUCCAUCCUUCCAUGGUCUAUAUUUCCUUCUCUUUUUUUGCUCCCUGGUAAUAAGUUCUCUCUAAUAUCCUACAUAUAAAAAGAGUCACCUGAUG
ensembl:lncRNA